CAGUAGCGUAUAUUAAAGUUGUUGCAGUUAAAAAGCUCGUAGUUGGAUUUCUGACUUCAAACACCUGACCCUCCCUCGCUAGAGGUGUGUGUGCCGGAGUGUUUGUAUCAUCCUUUCAGUGAUCGGUUCUACCCUUAACCGGGUCGGAACUGUUAACUGGAUCUUUUACUUUGAAGAAAUUGGAGUGUUUAAAGCAGGCUUACGCCAGAACAUAUUAGCAUGGAAUAAUAAUUUAGGACUUUUGUUCUAUUUUGUUGGUUUCUAGGACGAAAGUAAUGAUUGAUAGGGGUAGUUGGGGGUGCUAGUAUUCGGCGGCCAGAGGUGAAAUUCUUUGAUUUGUUAAAGACGGACUACUGCGAAAGCAUUUGCCAAGGAUGUUUUCAUUGAUCAAGAACGAAAGUUAGGGGAUCGAAGACGAUCAGAUACCAU
rnacentral:rRNA from 1 species